UGUCGGGUGGUGAAAUGGUAUCACGCUUGGUUUUGGUCCAAGUAUUCCAGGUUCGAGCCCUGGCCCGACAG
rnacentral:tRNA from 1 species